UGCGAUCCAAUAGACUACCCCCACGCCAAACAGCGCCUCCCAUCCCCUCCCAGCAGCCCCUCUCAGCCCCGUCGAACCAGCGCCUCCCAACCCCUACCAUCUUCACCGAACUAGCGCCUCCCAACCCCUACCAUCUUCGCCGAACUAGCGCCUCCCAGUCAGUUUGUUCACAGCUUCGCCACCGUCUCUGCCUCUGGCCUGCCUCUGUUCCGGCGUUGUCACAGAUUUUAAUAUAUGUUUUUAUUUUUUAUUGAUGAAAUUGCUAUGGUUUGAAUUCUGUCAAUGUGAAAUUAGGAUUAUGUUUAGGGUUUGAAUUCUAAUUGAUAAAUUUGGAUUGAGUUAUAUUCUUGCUCUGAAAUUGAGGUUAGGGUUUGUGAAAUUGGGACAUUUUAGGGUUUGGUCUAUGUUAAAUGUAAAUUAUUUUUUUUCAUUUUAUAUUAAUUGGUUUGGUUAGAUAAAUCUUUU